AGCGAACGCUGGCGGCAGGCCUAACACAUGCAAGUCGAACGAAGCCUUCGGGCUUAGUGGCGGACGGGUGAGUAACACGUGGGAACGUACCUUUUGGUUCGGAACAACUCCGGGAAACUUGAGCUAAUACCGGAUGAGCCCUUAGGGGGAAAGAUUUAUCGCCGAAAGAGCGGCCCGCGUUAGAUUAGCUAGUUGGUGAGGUAAAGGCUCACCAAGGCAACGAUCUAUAGCUGGUCUGAGAGGAUGAUCAGCCACACUGGGACUGAGACACGGCCCAGACUCCUACGGGAGGCAGCAGUGGGGAAUCUUGCGCAAUGGGCGAAAGCCUGACGCAGCCAUGCCGCGUGAAUGAUGAAGGUCUUAGGAUUGUAAAAUUCUUUUACCAGGGACGUUAAUGACGGUACCUGGAGAAAAAGCCCCGGCUAACUUCGUGCCAGCCGCCGCCGUAAAAC
rnacentral:rRNA from 1 species